GACGAACGCUGGCGGCGUGCUUAACACAUGCAAGUCGAACGGAAAGGCCCUGCUUUUGUGGGGUGCUCGAGUGGCGAACGGGUGAGUAACACGUGAGUAACCUGCCCUUGACUUUGGGAUAACUUCAGGAGACUGGGGCUAAUACCGGAUAGGAGCUCCUGCUGCAUGGUGGGGGUUGGAAAGUUUCGGCGGUUGGGGAUGGACUCGCGGCUUAUCAGCUUGUUGGUGGGGUAGUGGCUUACCAAGGCUUUGACGGGUAGCCGGCCUGAGAGGGUGACCGGCCACAUUGGGACUGAGAUACGGCCCAGACUCCUACGGGAGGCAGCAGUGGGGAAUAUUGCACAAUGGGCGGAAGCUUGAUGCAGCAACGCCGCGUGCGGGAUGACGGCCUUCGGGUUGUAAACCGCUUUCGCCUGUGACGAAGCGUGAGUGACGGUAAUGGGUAAAGAAGCACCGGCUAACUACGUG
rnacentral:rRNA from 1 species